rnacentral:miRNA from 1 species
GAUGCCACUGUUUCUCAGUCGUA